rfam:Otolemur garnettii contig047594, whole genome shotgun sequence.
GCUGGGUGCCGUGGUGCGUGCCUGUAGUCCCAGCUACUCAGGAGGCUGAGACAGGAUUGCUUGAGUCCAGGAGUUCUGGGCUGUAGUGCGCUAUGUCAAUCGGGUGUCUGCAUUAAGUUUGGCAUCAAUAUGGUGACCUCCUGGGAGCAGGGGACCACCAGGUUGCCUAAGGAGGGGUGUACCGGCCCAGGUCGGAAACAGAAUGGGUCAAAGCUCCUGUGCUAAUCAGUAGUGGGAUGGCACCUGUGAAUAGCCACUGAACUCCAGCCUGGACAAGAUAGUGAGACCCUGUCUCUU